GUAGCCUUGCAGGUUCGAGGUUCUCCAGCUGAUCCAAUGGCAUGGAGCUAAGACGGGAACGCGGUCGAUGCCGCGGCUGCCCCCGCAACUGUAAGCGGUGCUGAUUUAUCGCACAGUCUUUGCAAAGCCACUGCACAGCCUCUGUCUGUGCGGGAAGGCGCAAUGACUGCCCCGGAGAUACUCCAGGUGCGCCGCAAGCCAGGAGACCUGCCUCGAUUCGGGCCUUGUG
rnacentral:ncRNA from 1 species